rnacentral:lncRNA from 1 species
UUAAAACAAAAAAGUAAACAAGAAAUCCAGAACCAAACCAAACCGGAGAAACAUUCAUACGGAAGCAAGUCUAAACCGAAAACAGAGCACCACUUCAUCUUCGAUUACCAUCCACCGCCUCCACUUCCUCCUCCGUAGCCACCGUCACCACCUCCGUAGCCACCUCCAUCACGUCUGCCACCACCACCACCGUAUCCUCCACCUCCAGAUCCGUAACCGCCGCCUCCACGGCCGCCACCUCCAGAUCCGUAACCGCCGCCUCCACGUCUGUCACCGUAUCCACCGCCGCCUCCACCGUAUCCACCACCUCCACGGCCACCGUAUCCACCUCCACCACGGCCUCCUCCACCGCCGCCUCCUCUGGACUGAGCCUCGUUGACGGUGAUGGUACGACCGUCGAGCUCCUUCCCGUUCAUCUCAUCGAUGGCAUCCUUCAUGGACUUCUCAUCCUUGAAGGUCACGAAUCCGAAUCCCCUCGAUCUCCCAGUCUCACGAUCGUUAAUGAUCUGUCAAAAACCAAAUCAAAAACAAUAAUCAGCAAAAGAGCAAUCAUUAAAGCUGAAUGAAUCAAAAAAAAAGCGAUGGAUGAAACAAAGAAAUCGAACGUUCUCCGGGCUCGUAAAAGCAGCAGGAAGAUUAAACGUACCGAUGGGACAAAGCAAGUAACAGUAGUAACAAAGAACAUAGUAACAGAGUAAUCGAAUCAAGUAACAGAGAUACACAGAUCGGAAUCAGAUCCGCCGAGGAUCAGAACCAUCCUCGAGUCCGAUCUCUCGUGUAACGGACCUUUGAAUCGAUAACUUCGCCGAACUGUGAGAACGUCCUCUCUAGCUCAGCAUCUCCGGUGGCCCAUGCUAGGCCGCCGACGAAACACCGGUACUCAACUUCAGACAUUUUUUUUUCUAACAGACGGAGAAAAGUAAAGGUUAGAGAGAGAGAAAGAGACUUGUGAUUUGAGAUGAUAAGACGGAACCUUAAUUUAUAGAAGGAGAUGACGUAGUAACUGGGGUUAAGAUAUUUUCUAGGGCUGCCGAGAGAUGGGUGUAACUAUGAUUAGGAAGUGCGGUUAAAUGGUUAGUGGAUAGGCCCACCAUCAUCAUGUGAGUGAGUGUGUGCACUUUGGGAAAACAAAGAUUUCUUUCUCCUCGUUCCGGGCAAACAAAAUAUCUCUGCAUUUAAAUAUCUUUUAUUCUCCCAGAUGAUAUGACGCUUUUAUCCUCCGUCUCUUCUCUAAUGUGAGAACUAUUGGGCCUGAAUAUUACUACAGCUUUGGCCCAUUGAAUCUGACGGCAAAUGAGAUUGUAUGUUACUCUUGGGUCACUUCUGGUCGGAAGCUGAAUGGGAUCGCUGAUCGGUGUAUGAAUAAAAGUAAUUAAAGGUCAAACGACGGCGUUUCAUUGUAGGGUUUAGUCCAUUUCAUCGGUCGUUUCCUUCCUCGAGAAUCUCCAGUUCAAGGAAAAACAAAUUUAGGAAUCUAAAAGUCAGAGAUGGCAUCGGUUUGCAGAUCAUUUCUAAUGAGUGGUUCAAGAAACUUAGUAUCGAGAUCAAGAACCGUAACUCAAAAGUGCAUCAAUCUUAAACCCACGACGACAACGACUUCGUCUCACUUUGCUUCAGUCUCCCAAUCCAUCCCUCGCGCUUCAAGGUGACCACACUCAGUUUCUAAUCCUUAAUUGCCUAUAGAGUCCUCAGAAAAACACGAAAAUUUAGAGAACAGCCAUGUUUUAAAUGUGAAGGGUUCUGUCGGCAUUGGGAAGCGUUGAAACGAUGAUACCACUUCAUAGUGCGGUUCCACACUCUUUUAAAUUUUGUGAACAAACAGAGUUACUUUUUUUUCAGACAAAGUAAACUAGAACUCUGUUCAACCACUGCACAUAAUGUUUCAAGUCGCAAAGAUAUGACCAUACAUCUUCAAAAUUACGUGAUUCUGUUAAUAGUUAUGUUAAGAUAAUUUCACGGAGAAAGUCUGUUCACAUUUUGCCAUCAAUACAUAUGGGUACUUUCACUUGGCUGAUUUGGAGAAAAUAUUGGCCAAUUUGUUACUUCAAAAUUUAUUAUAUUCAAUACUGAAAACAACCUUUUUGGGAAUUUUGAAAUCUUUUAUUUCCAUUUCAAAUAAUCGAAGAUAUCUUCUUUACUUGAUGUCGACAUUGAAAGAAAAGUAUAAUUAUAAAAACGGAAAGAGAAUAUUCGGAGUAUAUCAGUGUCUUUUUAGCUUAUAUUCUUAAUCAAAAACGAAGAGAUAAGAUCUGGUCUAAAUCUAAAACAACUCAUAUCAUCUAAUCAAUCUUUUAAACGCAAUAAUGAUAGCAUCUUAAAUCAAAAGAUAUAAGGUAGGGAGUGGGGAAUAUUAACACACUAAUAAUUCAAAAACAUAGGCUGAAAUAUAUAAAUGAGUUCAUAAUAGCUGAUCGGGCGACGAACGAGUAUAAUGCGACGGUGAAAAAAAAAGAAAUCAAGAGAAGCUUAUAAUUUAGAGAACAAGAUGCGAUUUAACAUUUCGUUUCAGGCAAGCAAGACUUUAACGAUCCGUUAAAACAAAAAAGUAAACAAGAAAUCCAGAACCAAACCAAACCGGAGAAACAUUCAUACGGAAGCAAGUCUAAACCGAAAACAGAGCACCACUUCAUCUUCGAUUACCAUCCACCGCCUCCACUUCCUCCUCCGUAGCCACCGUCACCACCUCCGUAGCCACCUCCAUCACGUCUGCCACCACCACCACCGUAUCCUCCACCUCCAGAUCCGUAACCGCCGCCUCCACGGCCGCCACCUCCAGAUCCGUAACCGCCGCCUCCACGUCUGUCACCGUAUCCACCGCCGCCUCCACCGUAUCCACCACCUCCACGGCCACCGUAUCCACCUCCACCACGGCCUCCUCCACCGCCGCCUCCUCUGGACUGAGCCUCGUUGACGGUGAUGGUACGACCGUCGAGCUCCUUCCCGUUCAUCUCAUCGAUGGCAUCCUUCAUGGACUUCUCAUCCUUGAAGGUCACGAAUCCGAAUCCCCUCGAUCUCCCAGUCUCACGAUCGUUAAUGAUCUGUCAAAAACCAAAUCAAAAACAAUAAUCAGCAAAAGAGCAAUCAUUAAAGCUGAAUGAAUCAAAAAAAAAGCGAUGGAUGAAACAAAGAAAUCGAACGUUCUCCGGGCUCGUAAAAGCAGCAGGAAGAUUAAACGUACCGAUGGGACAAAGCAAGUAACAGUAGUAACAAAGAACAUAGUAACAGAGUAAUCGAAUCAAGUAACAGAGAUACACAGAUCGGAAUCAGAUCCGCCGAGGAUCAGAACCAUCCUCGAGUCCGAUCUCUC